AGAGUUUGAUCCUGGCUCAGAUUGAACGCUGGCGGCAGGCCUAACACAUGCAAGUCGAACGGUAACAGGAAGCAGCUUGCUGCUUUGCUGACGAGUGGCGGACGGGUGAGUAAUGUCUGGGAAACUGCCUGAUGGAGGGGGAUAACUACUGGAAACGGUAGCUAAUACCGCAUAACGUCGCAAGACCAAAGAGGGGGAACCUUCGGGCCUCUUGCCAUCGGAUGUGCCCAGAUGGGAUUAGCUAGUAGGUGGGGUAAAGGCUCACCUAGGCGACGAUCCCUAGCUGGUCUGAGAGGAUGACCAGCCACACUGGAACUGAGACACGGUCCAGACUCCUACGGGAGGCAGCAGUGGGGAAUAUUGCACAAUGGGCGCAAGCCUGAUGCAGCCAUGCCGCGUGUAUGAAGAAGGCCUUCGGGUUGUAAAGUACUUUCAGCGGGGAGGAAGGGAGUAAAGUUAAUACCUUUGCUCAUUGACGUUACCCGCAGAAGAAGCACCGGCUAACUCCGU
rnacentral:rRNA from 1 species